AAUCAAGGGGAACGGCUUUUGGGGGAUCCCAUGCGAACACCGACGAACACUCCCCCUAGCUCUUAGGGAGCAAAUGCUACGGUACCUCCAGUUGGUAGUUCCUAUCUGCCGAACAUCAUUUGUCUAGCUGGUCAGGAAGUUGGAUGGGCAGCGGUACACUCUCUGCCGGGGGAAAGCAUUCAAGUUAAUCACUUAAUUGCAGUUAACAGCCAGGGGUGGUCGGUGUUCUCAGAGGUAAUAAAACGGGAACAACACAUGUUACGUUCAGUUGAUGAAUAGGGGAAUACGCGUGAGUUUGGGAAAAUUGAUAUUCCAAGUAGUGCAAAUCGAAAAUUAGGACUUCUUCAGGGAUAUUUCUCCUGAAGAAG